rnacentral:tRNA from 1 species
GUCAGGAUGGCCGAGCGGUCUAAGGCGCUACGUUCAGGUCGUAGUCUACUCUGUAGGCGUGGGUUCGAAUCCCACUCCUGAUA